AGAAGAAGAAGAUAAAGAAGAAGAGUGAUGAUCUACGUAGUCUUCGUCUUCAUAAAUCGUAUCAACAAACCCUAAGUUUGUCCAUCGCUUCAUGUCUUUUUUUCCGAGAGAGAAGAGAUCAAAGAAUGAGAAUAAUUUGUGUGAGUUUUGAGAAGAUUCGAAUUCGCCGGUUAGGUUUUAGUAUCAAGA